rnacentral:rRNA from 1 species
UACCAGCACCCCGAGUGGUCGGGACGAUUAUUGGGCCUAAAGCAUCCGUAGCCGGCCUUACAAGUCCUCCGUUAAAUCCAGCUGCUUAACAGAUGGGCUGCGGAGGAUACUAUAAGACUAGGAGGCAGGAGAGGCAAGCGGUACUCAGUGGGUAGGGGUAAAAUCCGUUGAUCCAUUGAAGACCACCAGUGGCGAAGGCGGCUUGCCAGAACGCGCUCGACGGUGAGGGAUGAAAGCUGGGGGAGCAACCGGG